rnacentral:rRNA from 1 species
GACAGAGGUGCCGAGCGUUAGGCGGAAUCACUGGGCUUAAAGCGUGUGUAGGCGGGUCGUUAAGUACCUUGUGAAAUCCCCCGGCUCAACCGGGGAACUGCUGGGUAUACUGGCGAUCUUGAGCGAUCUAGGGGCAGAUGGAACAAGUGGUGGAGCGGUGAAAUGCGUAGAUAUCACUUGGAACGCCAAAGGUGAAGACAGUCUGCUGGGGACUUGCUGACGCUGAGACACGAAAGCCAGGGGAGCGAACGGG